UCUCUCUCUCUCUCUCUCUCUCUCUAUCUGCCUCACCCGUUGACCCAUUUUCUUUGUGGCUCAUCUCGAAGGUGGACUGAACGGAACUAUGUGACCUUGCUUCUAGUCGUGGCCGGAGGACGUGCAGUCUGCCGUUGACUCGUCGAAGGAAGGCGAAGAAGAUGAUGGCUGUGGUGAGUCCACCUUGGUGGUCCGAGGUCGAUGACGGAGGAAAGAGUCUUCCAGAUCCACUUUCUCUCUCCUCCAUCUCUCUCUCUCUGGAAAGGACGUUGAGUUUCUUUAAUUUUGAUUCUAUGUAGUUUCUGGAUUUCGUUUUGGUUUCCCAAUUUGUCGAUUAAGUGUUAUCCCUAGUUAAUUUGCUUAUCUAGUUGUGCUUGGGGGUUAGGAUUUCUAUUGGAGAGGAAAUUUCUGGUGGUGAAGAAGAGAGGGAAGAAGGAGGAGAAUCCCAAUGUCCAGUGCGCAAAUGCAAAGAGAAAGGCGAUUCGAAAAAGUGUAUGUGUUUGGCGUACGAGAAUCUGAGGGCUCUCAGGAAGAGUUCUUCAAGACCCGACUUGAACCUGAGGGGUUGAAGGAGUCCUACAGGGCCGAUCAGGAAUUCAAGGACGAAAUCUAGAAGGGGUUGCUGAUUCAAGCCAGGGACUUCGAUUUGGGAUGGAAGUCUGGGAAGAUGUGGUCUUAUUUGAUUGCAAAGAGUAAGGAAGGCGGGGUUACUAAUGUUGCCACCAAUGUUCAAUGAUGCCACCAAUGUUCUUCAGAGUUGGGACCCAACUCUGGUCAAUCCCUGCACCUGGUUCCAUGUUACCUGUGAUGCUAAUAACCAUGUGAUCCGUUUGGAUUUGGGCAACUCUAACAUUCUGGGUCUUUGGGGCCAGAGCUUGGGCAGCUGAAGCACCUGGAAUACUUUUCGGAAUGUCAGAUGGUUAUGAAUGUUUUAUGGACAAGAUUGAGUGAGACAGGCAAGGACUGGCGUCUUGUCUAUAAGUUGAAAUUGGGAAAACAUUCAUUGAGGAACAUCUAAAAGGUUGGUGACAUGAAUCAUUUGCCCUCCUCCUUUAUGUUUUUUCAUUCAAGACUUGUGAGAAAAGUUCAGUUCUAAUUCUUCACAUUGCUGUAUUACCUGUUUGAUCAGAAUAUGGAAGGACCAGUCACAUAUACAAUUGGCAUACAGCUUCCUCCAUUUUCUUCUAUUAUAGCUUCUUCACAUAUGCUAUGUAAUGAUUGUUAAACUGGUUAAUGAACCUGUUGCAGUUAUCCUUUCGAUGAGAAUACUCCACUUGUUGAUGAUCCAGAGUACAUCUUUGCAUUAGGUGAAACAAUAUUCAAGGGACUGCAAAGCGGAGAUAAGGAUGGGGUCUGGCUAAUGCAGAUAGAUUUGAUCAAACAGCAAAGCUACUUAGUUUUGGGGGUGAAUUCAUGGGAGGCUUGACAAAGAACAAGGGGUUAUCUGCUUUGCUUAUCAGCGUUGAUUUUUUUCUUCUUUUGGUCAAAGCUGUAGAUUUUUGAGAAUUGUUGAUGAGUACUUGGUGGUUCUUCUUCUUCCAAGGUUUUUCUGAACCCAAGUGUUGAGAAAAACAAGAAGGGGCAAGAGACCUAGAAAGGGAGGCAACCGAUUCUGGAAGAGUAUUGGGCUGCGCACCAAGCCCCACAGGGAUGGGAUGCCUCUUGGGAAAAUCUAAUUAGCAGUCUUGAUGGGAAAAUCUGCAGUUCACUCUUUCAACUACAAACUGAAAGAAGCUUCUUGGGAAAGAGGAAGAAAUUGAGAAAGCCUCCGAAGGGGUAUGAAUUCGUUGGGUUAUUGCCAUGGAGAGAAUUUGUAAAACAGAGGAGUACAGAACAAUGGCUGGUAUGAUGAGUUUGUAUAUGUAGAAGGCUCUCAUUUAUACAUUAUAUAGUAGAGUUACUUUUCUGAAUCAGUAGUUGACUGUAAUAGAAGCUUACUUUCUGGCAAAACUUUUUGAAACUACCUCAAGCUCUAAUUUUGGAUAGAAAUUAAUACAAUUCCUUAA